rnacentral:rRNA from 1 species
CCUACGGGGGGCUGCAGUGGGGAAUAUUGCACAAUGGGGGAAACCCUGAUGCAGCGACGCCGCGUGAGUGAAGAAGUAAUUCGUUAUGUAAAGCUCUAUCAGCAGGGAAGAAAAUGACGGUACCUGAGUAAGAAGCCACGGCCAACUACGUGCCAGCAGCGGCGGUAAUACGUAGGGGGCAAGCGUUAUCAGGUUUUACUGGGUGUAAAGGGCGCGUAGACGGCAGUGCAAGCCUGGAUUGAAAGGCGGGGGCUCAACCCCCGGACUGCUCUGGAAACUGUACGGCUGGAGUGCAGGAGAGGUAAGUGGAAUUCCUAUUGUAGCGGGGAAAUGCGUAGAUAUUAGGAGGAACACCAGUGGCGAAGGCGGCUUACUGGACUGUAACUGACGUUGAGGCUCGAAAGCGUGGGGAGCAAACAGGAUUAGAUACCCCUGUAGUC